rnacentral:lncRNA from 1 species
AACCACUAUGCUGUCUGGUGUCUACGUAAGCCAAAGACAGGGCCCAAACACUGGAGGACAUUGAAAGUUGGCACGUAAAGAGGUUUAGAAGAUCCACCAUGAGAAGCCACAUCCAAGGGAAGAACAUGGAGGAUUCCUGGACCUUUUAAUCCAGUGAUGACUGAGGACCCAAGAUCUGGAAGAUGUUUUGGCUUUGUACUCACACAGCUCUGAAGAUGCUGAGUUCUGAUUGAGCUGGCAAUGAGCAUUGGGAGGACCAGGGUUCAGUGGUCAGGGAACUGAUGACUGGCACCGAGGGACAGGAAACAUGGCCAUUAAGGCUGGCACAUAGGACUCUGUAUUCAGCUAUUGGGAAGGUUUGGACUUCAUGGCUGGAAAUUCGAGAUGCAAGAGGGAGAGCUCAGUCACUGAUAGAAACAUAAUGAAUCAUGACUGACUCCAUAAGGUAAGUAGUUACUGCAAGCUUCUCUGAGUGUCUGUAUGCUGAGGACAGCCCCCUACCAGACUGCCCGUGACCAACCAACUAAGAAAGGCAGCAAAGAUGUUAUGCAACCAAGUGGACAUUUGAAAGAAGUAGAGGAAAGGUCAUUGCAGCAGCAGAUUGGAACAGAAAUAGCAAGAGCUAUAGAAAGGCAAUUGAUCAGUUGAUGAAGUCAUGGUGCCUUAUGUCUGUACAGUGAGAACUUUUGGAGAGAUUGAGAAUUCUCUGCAGUUGAAUGUCAAUUCAAAUACAAAAUUAAAAAAAAGAAGACCAGUUAAAGAUGAACGCAUGUAAAUGAACAUGGAAAACAGAUUGGUGUGGGACAUGAAAGAGAAUUAGCACAGCCCAGAGAAAAUACAUGGUGACCGGUGUGGAAAUAAAUGAAGACCAAUCAAAUGAGAACAAGCAAAGGCUAUGUAUUCAGAGCUUGAUAUAGCAAGAAAGCCAUUAUCAUUUGUAUUUGGCAGACCCAAAGGCAGGCAGAAGAAUGGGAAAGCUUUAUAGUGGAUACAAGAAGACUCCUGGGAUGCCCUGAUUGGAGGCUGUUUCCAUGAGGAGGUGGUAAGCAGCUUAACUGGAA